GAGGAGGCCUCCACACAACUGUAUGGUCAUUCCAUCUGACCUUAAGAUCAUAUAUUCAAGUUUCAGAAACAGUCUUCUUGAUUGCAGGGGUAAGGUUGCGGCCAUCUACCUUUCCAGAGCAAUAGCAGGACCCUUAUGAUUGCUAUGUCCCUCUUUUUAGAGAAGCAAGAUAACCAUGGCUCGGAUAAGGUUAUGGAUGUAGU
rnacentral:lncRNA from 1 species